GAUUUGGUUGAUCCAGACGAAAAUAUAAAACUCUAAAAAUGCAAUUUCAAUCAAAUUUAGGAAAUAUAAUUAAAAAAUAACAAUGUUGACACUUGAAACGAAAAACGAAAUCAACUCACGAAACACGUACUUACAUUUUAAUUAGUUCGUGAUACGUGAAAAACGAUCAGGAAAUAGUUCGUAUCCAGUGCGUUAUAAAAUAUAAUUUUGUCGUCAGUAAACAAUAAAUAGCGACAAUAUUAUAAAGGUCCAACUAUACGUCGUACAAGUUCAACGGAGUGUUAUUAUUGUUUUUAAUAAUGGUCAUUGGUCAUUACGAUUUACGUUCUAUCAUAUUUCCGGACUUCGUGCCAUAAUAUCAUAUUAUAAAUUAAAUAUAAUUCUUACGUAUAUCUAUUUUUUUUACAGUGUUUAGAACACCAGUUGAUUUAUACCGAACUUUACAUAUGAAAGUCGUGUACAAAGGACGUUUGGAUUCGACAACUCAAAAUCAAAAUAUAAAUAUGGAAAAUUCGGACCGAUUGAGGAAACUACAAACGGCUUAGAAGUUCAUCAGUCUAGAAGGUGAAGAGAAAAAUUCAUAUUUACAGAAAUAUAGUUGACCUAACCACACAGCCAUGAUACAGUUCAUAGACAAAAUCUCGGCAAGACGGUCAAAAUAUGUUCAAGUCAAUUAAGUUUAUUUGAUGUAACUUAUGUAACUACGACUGGACCACAGCUCAAAUUAUAUUCAAUGUAUAGCUGGACCAGCAGAAUCUAUUGUAAAAAUAUCGAUAAAACAUAAUAUCCAUAUCUCGGUGUUCUCUAUCUCUGACGUAAUCUGGCACUGAACCAAUCUGUCAAGGAUAUGCACCUAACACACAUUGCAUGGAUACGAGAUAUAACUAGACCUACAUUUCAAUAUUUCAGAUAACAACGUUGAUCGUUUUGGCGUUUUCAAAGGAUUUGAUUUGGGAGUCAUUUAUGCCACAAGAUAAAAACGUCAAUCGAAGGC